rnacentral:rRNA from 1 species
CAGCGCAGUGUAGCAAUACAUGGGCGGCGACCGGCAAACGGGUGCGGAACACGUACGCAACCUUCCCAAAACUGGGGGAUAGCUUUCGGAAACGAAAAUUAAUACCCCGUAAUACAGUGAGAUGGCAUCAUCUUAUUGUUAUAGUUCCGACGGUUUUGGAUGGGCGUGCGCCUGAUUAGGUAGUUGGCGGGGUAACGGCCCACCAAGCCUACGAUCAGUAACUGGUGUGAGAGCACGACCAGUCACACGGGCACUGAGACACGGGCCCGACUCCUACGGGAGGCAGCAGUAAGGAAUAUUGGUCAAUGGACGCAAGUCUGAACCAGCCAUGCCGCGUGGAGGAUGAGGCCCUCUGGGUUGUAAACUUCUUUUAUCGAAGAAGAAACCCCUGCAUUCUUGUGGGGUUGACGGUACUCGAUGAAUAAGCACCGGCUAACUCCGUGCCAGCAGCCGCGGUAAUACGGAGGGUGCAAGCGUUAUCCGGAUUCACUGGGUUUAAAGGGUGCGUAGGCGGGUUGGUAAGUCAGUGGUGAAAUCUUCAAGCUUAACUUGGAAACUGCCGUUGAUACUAUCAAUCUUGAAUAUUGUGGAGGUAAGCGGAAUAUGUCAUGUAGCGGUGAAAUGCUUAGAUAUGACAUAGAACACCGAUAGCGAAGGCAGCUUGCUACACAAUAAUUGACGCUGAGGCACGAAAGCGUGGGGAUCAAACAGGAUUAGAUACCCUGGUAGUCCACGCCCUAAACGAUGGAUACUCGACAUACGCGAUACACAGUGUGUGUCUGAGCGAAAGCAUUAAGUAUCCCACCUGGGAAGUACGACCGCAA